rnacentral:rRNA from 1 species
CCCUUCAAGGGUUACCAAAAUCAGAUAAACUCCGAAUGCCAGCUAAGUAUGUGCAGGAGUCAGACGGUGAGUGAUAAGAUCCAUCGUCAAAAGGGGAACAGCCCAGAUCACCAGUUAAGGUCCCUAAAUAUAUGCUAAGUGGAAAACGUUGUGAAGGUGCAUAGACAACUAGGAGGUUGGCUCAGAAGCAGCCACCCUUUAAAGAGUGCGUAAUAGCUCACUAGUCAAGUGCUCUUGCGCGGAUAAUGUACCGGGGCUAAGCAUAUUACCGAAACUGUGGAUGCGUAAGCAUGGUAGGAUAGCGUAAUUAACGCGAUGAAGGAUGACCGUAAGGACAUGUUGGAGCGUUAACUAGUGAGAAUUCCGGUAUGAGUAGCGAAAGAUAGGUGAGAAUCCUAUCCACCGAAUGAGUAAGGUUUCCCCCGGAAGGCUCGUCCGCGGGGGGUUAGUCGGGACCUAAGGCGAGGCUGAAAAGCGUAGUCGAUGGACAACAGGUUGAUAUUCCUGUACCGAUAUUUAAUUGCCGAAGGAAGGACGCAGAAGGAUAACACAGGCCACUAUUGGAUGUGGUUUUAAACAGUUAGUCUUCUUCAUAAGAGUCAAAUGCUUUUAUGUUUAAGGAUAAGCUGUGAAUGUACCAAGUUUACUUGGAAAUUGUGUGAUUUCACGCUGCUGAAAAAAGUUUCGUAGGAAGAAAAUAUUGCC